CGCCGCUGGGAGCCGGGGCGGGGCGGGCCCGGCUGAGGGGGUGGCGAGGCCCGGGAUGUGCCCGCGAGGCGCCCGGGAGGAGCGGCGCCCCUCAGCUCCCCGCGGAGCGCAGCGUGUGAAUGAAGCGCACACUUGCUUCUGCCUGAUCUCAUCUUCACAGUGAGCUGCUGAGUGUUACUGCAGUCACAGAAAGCAGCAUGCGUACGAGAAUCUCUGAUGAAAGACACUGGACAAAGAUUUGAUGUCUGACUGAUUAAAUGUGACCCCCCCCCCCCCCAAAUGAAGACUGCAUUUCCCAAGAACCACAAAUGUGAACUAGAGGAUCUUUAACUACAUGUCUGCCAUACGACAGAAAUGACCGGUAGCCUGAAAAUGUAUGGAAAAACAUUUAAGUCAGAGGUAUGUACAACAAAACGUGUGUGUCUAAAAUCAGUUGAUCUUGUCCCAAAGCAGCCAUUAAAAUACUUACUAAGAAACUAGAAAUGUUUUUCUUUUUAUUUUUUAUUUUGAAGAUCACUUGAGGACAACAACCUGUAAAGUGCAGAUAAUCUUUUUUCACUAGUUCAUUUUAAAAGACCAAAACCAAGUCAGAUUUAGAAAUCCAGGAUUUGUAGAAUGCUAAAGAAUUCAACUUGCGUGUGCUGUAUAUAUUUCACCAUCAUGACAAUGAAUGGAGUUAUUGCCAAGUGAACUUUAUCUGAGGAUACAAAGAUUCUUUGCUGUAUCAUGAAUCAUGCUAUAUUAAUGAAAAUAUUUAAAUUUUAUUUUUAAUUUUCCUACUAUGUCUCUUUACUUUCUUAUAGUGAACCUGGCGUGAUUAUUUUUAUGCUUCCAGGCAGCUACCAUUCAAUUUUUUAGCAACCUCCCUUGUCCUGAAUGUAUAAUAGGAUUUGGAGGGAGGCUUGGUAUUUGUACAGAUAGCAUAUUAUUCAGCUUUCUAGAUGAGAAAGAUUUCAUCAUGUCCCAUAAAUGCUGUGAGAAACCAUACAAAGAGGACAGUACAAACAAUCUUUUUCCAUUAUUAUUUAUUCUCUACAAUACUUCAUUAGAGGAUAGAGUUCAAUUAUUUACACUCAGAAGUUAUUAUAUAGGUAGGAGGCAACCAAGUGUAAUACAAAUAAUUGGUCUGACAUCUCUGCACUGAAGGUCAAAAGAGGUCUCCUGCUUUAAGGAAAUAAAUUAACCAAAAAUAACCCAAAACAAAACAACAUGUAGUUUCCAAAAUACAAACAGAAAACAGCACUAAUAGUCAGUGAAGAUUGCAGAUGUUCGUUAGUAUACUAUGAAAACAAAUUAUCCUGUGCAAAGGUUAAAAUGAACUUUUAGAUUUCUUACAGAUUUUUUUCUUAUAAAUUGUAGAUGUGAUAUUUUGACCAUAAAACCUUCCCAAACUGAUCUCAGUUGAGAUUGACAGUUGAACAUAAUGAAAAAAAUUUAAGAACCUCACAGUGGAAACAUUCCAACACUGACAGACUCCAGUGAUCAAAGACAUUCUUCUGUAUUUACUGUAAAACAAAGACAAUUCAUACUUGCAGUGAGAUUAUUUCUCAGCUGUGGUUAUCAUGAGAAUAAGCCCUUCUAGACCAAAAGGCACUUGCUUCUAAGGAUGAGAUAAAUCCAGAUCAAACCAGGUGACAAUUGCUUUGAGAAGGAGUAUUUCUAACAUGCUGUCCCAGCAAAGUAACCCCAGAAAAAAAUUAUUAAAUCGCUGGGUUUUGUGGCCUCCGUCUUGAGGCCAAUCAAAGUACAUUUUGUUUCUAGUUCACUUCUUUCAUCCUUAUGCAUAGCUGCCAUGUAAUGAUCUAGAAAUGGGAUUAUUUCCUGAGACCACCUGUCCUUGUCGUACAUUUUUUCUGAGCUAAUUUAACUAUCGACACUUUUUUUUUUUGACUGAUUUUAGAGCUGGACCCUUAUGGGACUAAAGCUGAGAGGGCCCGUUUCUUAGGCAGCAGACCAGUGGUUCUGAUUUACUAGCUCCUCUCCUCACUGCAGCAAGACAAGAACACAGUACAUAUUUAGAGGUGUUUUCGUUUUCUUGUGUUUUGUUUUUUGUUUUUUUAAACAGACUGAGCAGGGAAAUGGAAGUGGGAGAGGAUAAGGCUUCCUCAGUCCCAAACCAUCCAGCCCGCUUCAAGCUUAAACCAACCAAGUCACUCAAUCGUAAAAUUCUGUUCUUUAAAAAUGACAGCUAACCCUCCCCACCCCACCCC